rnacentral:piRNA from 1 species
UGCGUGAGAGACCGACGCAGGGCAUGGA